rnacentral:rRNA from 1 species
UACGUAGGUGACAAGCGUUGUCCGGAUUUACUGGGCGUAAAGAGCGCGCAGGCGGUCGAUCAAGUCGAGUGUGAAAGCCCCCGGCUCAACUGGGGAGGGUCAUUCGAUACUGAUCGACUCGAAGGCAGGAGAGGGUAGUGGAAUUCCCGGUGUAGUGGUGAAAUGCGUAGAGAUCGGGAAGAACACCCGUGGCGAAGGCGGCGUGCUGGGUUGCAACUGACGCUGAGAUGCGAAAGUGUGGGGAGCAAACGGG